CGAGCCUGAUGGAGCAUGCCGCGUGAGUGAGAAGGUUUUCGGAUCGUAAACUCUGUUGUUGAAGAAGAACAUGCGUGAGAGUAACUGUUCACGUACUGACGGUAUUCAACCAGAAAGCCACGGCUAACUACGUGCCAGCAGCCGCGGUAAUACGUAGGUGGCAAGCGUUGUCCGGAUUUAUUGGGCGUAAAGAGAAUGUAGGCGGUUUAUUAAGUUUGAAGUGAAAGCCCUCGGCUCAACCGAGGAAGUGCUUCGAAAACUGGUAAACUUGAGUGCAGAAGAGGAAAGUGGAACUCCAUGUGUAGCGGUGAAAUC
rnacentral:rRNA from 1 species